AGAUUCUCGAGCUGGAGGAGGCCAUCGCGUGGAUGAUGGUCAUCCAUGUCACCGGGACCAAAGGGAAGGUGAAUCACGAGAUAACAUUUGGUGCCAAGGAUUCGGGAAGGUGAACUAAUACCAAGAACCAUGUCGCCGGAUGAUUCCGGAAGAGAUGGUCCUGAUAGUCGAGAUAAACGGUGCAUUGGGUGAACUUGUUACUACAGGAU